ACUCGCGUCCGUCCACCUGCCUCCGCCUCCCCGUUAUCCUUGCGGAAAAAAAAAACGAAUCCAUCUUCUUCCUCCCGCCGUCCGCCAUCGACUCCUUCCAUCCUCCCACCCCACGCCGCCCCGCCGGCGAGCACCGCCCUCUCUCCUCCUUCCCCUCCCCCUCCCCCUCCCAUUCAUUCUCUUCCCUUUGGCCAAAUCUGCAUGGGUGCUCACGCCCCGCCGCCAGCUCCCACAUCGCCAGCAUCGCCUGGACCGCCCUUUCCUCCCCUCCCCCACCCCGUCUGCCUCCACCAGUUGCCCCCUGCUGGCACCGCCCAACCGGCCUCCCCUACCACCCGCCCGGCGGCGCCGCCCACAACCCACCGCUGCCGCCGGUCCGGCGGCCUCUCCGGCCAUCCCUUAGACCCAGCAUCUAUUAAUCCCAUCCCCCAACCUAAAACCUCCAAAUCCUAACCCUAACCCCCUCCCGCGCGCCUUAUCCACUCGCGUCCGUCCACCUGCCUCCGCCUCCCCAUUAUCCUCGCGGAAAAAAAAACGGAUCCAUCUUUUUCCUCCCGCCGUCCGCCAUCGACUCCUUCCAUCCUCCCACCCCGCGCCGCCCCGCCGGCGAGCACUGCCCUCUCUCCCCCUUCCCCUUCCCCUUCCCCUCCCCUUCAUUCUCUUCCCUUUGGCCAAAUCUGCAUGGGUGCUCGCGCCCCGCCCCGCCGCCAGCUCCCACAUCGCCGGCAUCGCUUGGACCGCCCUCUCCUCUCCUCCCCCUCCCCCUCCCCUCCCCCACCCCGUCUGCCUCCACCAGUUGCCCCCGCUGCCGGCACCGUCCAACCGGCCUACCCUACCACCCGCCUGGUGGCGCCGCCCACAACCCACUGCCGCCGCCGGUCCGGCGGCCUCCCCGGCCAUCCCUUUAGACCCAGCAUCUAUUAAUCCCAUCCCCCAACCCGAAACCUCCAAAUCCUAACCCUAACCCGAACGGAGCUCGCCGGAGAAGACGAUGUGCCUGCGGGAGGAGGACGGGGUCGUCAGAGAAUAAAGGUGCUUGCUGGAGAAGGUGUGGUUCAAUAUUUUGCAAACAUUCGGCCUAUAGGAAUUAGCUCCACAACCUGAAGAUUGCUCCUUGGAUGACUGGUGGGAGAAGGUGAGCAGCAAGGCUGAUGGCCAGGUUAAAAAGGGGCUCAACUCAAUUAUAAUCUUGGUGGCAUGGUCGCUCUGGAAUCAUCGCAACCGGUGUGUGUUUGACGGACUGUAGCCUAACCUGAAUGGUACUGUGUCCACCAUUAGGGAUGAGCUGCAUUUGUGGGAUGUUGCUGGGGCUCGAGGAAUUGCCCACCUCCUCGCCCUGCUACCUGCUGGUUAGGCUUAGAGGCCUGUUUUUUUUUUUUUGUUCCAGUUGUUGUCAUACUUGUAAGUUAUAGAGUGGUGAGUGUGGUGUGGGGUUUUUUCAGAUUUUCCCUCUAAAAUCUAUGUAAUGGUUACUGGGUGCAUCACCCUUCUUCUUAAUAUAUAGAUACGCGUGUUUGAGAAAAAAAAAGUAACAAAAGGUCUCUCCAGAUA